rnacentral:rRNA from 1 species
UACGGAGGGAGCUAGCGUUGUUCGGAAUUACUGGGCGUAAAGCGCACGUAGGCGGCUUUUUAAGUCAGGGGUGAAAUCCCGGGGCUCAACCUCGGAACUGCCCUUGAAACUGGGAAGCUAGAAUCCUGGAGAGGCGAGUGGAAUUCCGAGUGUAGAGGUGAAAUUCGUAGAUAUUCGGAAGAACACCAGUGGCGAAGGCGACUCGCUGGACAGGUAUUGACGCUGAGGUGCGAAAGCGUGGGGAGCAAACAGG